rnacentral:rRNA from 1 species
CCUACGAGUGGCAGCAGUGAGGAAUAUUGGUCAAUGGGCGCGAGCCUGAACCAGCCAAGUAGCGUGAAGGAUGACUGCCCUACGGGUUGUAAACUUCUUUUAUAAAGGCAUAAAGUGAGGCACGUGUGCCUUUUUGUAUGUACUUUAUGAAUAAGGAUCGGCUAACUCCGUUCCAGCAGCCGCGGUAAUACGGAGGAUCCGAGCUUUAUCCGGAUUUAUUUGGUUUAAAGGGAGCGUAGAUGGGUUGUUAAGUCAGUUUUGAAAGUUUGCGGCUCAAACGUAAAAUUGCAAUUGAUACUGGCAGUCUUGAGUACAGUUGAGGUAGGCGGAAUUCGUGGUGUAGCGGUGAAAUGCUUAGAUAUCACGAAGAACUCCGAUUGCGAAGGCAGCUUACUAAACUGCCACUGACAUUGAUGCUCGAAAGUGUGGGUAUCAAACAGGAUUAGACACCCCAGUAGUC